rnacentral:lncRNA from 1 species
CCUCGGGACUGCUGCUUCCACCCUCCUCUCAGUCUCCUUGCUCCUGGGCUGGAAUCUUCUAUUCUAUUCUAUUCCAGAGGGGUCACCUUCACCACCCCUCCACAGGAGCGAGCUUCCGGGAGAGAGAGCCCGGUGUGGUGUGUGAAGGUGGCACGGCUGUUCCGACCCAACAUUAAUAUCCAGGCUGCUCCAUCAGCCUGGGUCUUGGGAUGAGGAGCCAUGAAGCAGAUUUCCCUCCCUCCAAUCUGCUGUGGACAUGUGCCAUGAAUACC